UCUCCACAAAAUGGGUGGGUUUUCUUUCUCGUUUCCUUAUCCUGAACUCAAUAGAUAAAAUAUCAACGAAAUUUACAGGGAAAAACAUUGCACUAUAUGUCAACAACUACUUGAGAACCCACACGCUGAUAGCAGCUUCUGAAAUAUUUAAAGAAGAAAAGUCUUCAAGUUUGAGAGCAGUAAUUUUGAAAGUUGUCGAAGUUUUGGCGAAGCCUUAAGAGUUGAUGAUGAAAAUUGGCACAUUGCCAUGAGGAAGUUGCAACAUUAAUCAGGAUCAAGUUUGAUGAACUUCUAACAAGCAAUUGGCAGAGAAGAAAGAGAUCCGUUUUCAAACUGUGAAUUCGUUAAUUGAUGGAAAGUAUUGGUGGUUUUCUUAUGCGCCUUGCUGAUGGACUGCUUACAAAACAACGAAGGGCAUCCAUCAUAUCGCUGCUAUAAGGCGAUAUGAUGGAUGCCCUUCCUUUGUUCGUUAUUCCCUUAAGACACACAUGACAACCAAGAAUUGCUGUUGUCAAAAUUAUUAUUAUUGUUUGCCUGAUGAGAUGAAGACAAGAAAGAGCUUUGGCUGAAAAACGUGAAAAGCAAUGUUACAAUUCGUUCGUUCAAGUUUGGUGAAGAAGCCAUUAUCUUUAAAGCGAUAUGCAGACAGAUAUAAUCAACAACAACUCGAUUUUCACGUUUGCCAGAGUCAGGAAUACUUUUAAAAAAGGUGCUGUUUCAGUUCAUUGAAAGUUCCGUUUAUUUGAAAUAUUUGAAAGAAACCAUUUGAAAUAUGUGACAAGGAGAAAUACUCUGAGGCGCUUUGCGCGUUUCGCAUCAAUGUUCAUUCAAUUGCUUCAAGUUUAGUCACAGCCACAAACGAAGAAUGUUUACGAAGCUCAAAGCCACAUGUUCAACCUUACGGUGGCUAUUUCUUUUCUCUAUAUGACGUGUUUUCUAAUAAAGUGGCAAUGUUACACUUCGUUCGUUGAAGUUUGGUGAAGAAGCCAUUAUCUUUAAAGUUGAAAGCGAUGUGGUGCGGAUAUAAUCAACAACAACUUGAUUUUCACGUUUGCCAGCAUCAGGAAUACUUUCAAAAAGUUUUGACACCGCCAUACAUGAAGAAUAAUGUUUACGAAGCGCAAAGCCACAUGAUGUGACAAGCUUGAAUUUCUGUGCAAGGAUUAUCGACGGUGGGAAUAAUUAUUAAAAUGGUUUUUUUUCUCAUUCCUUUUUUUUUGCUUUAGAUGAUCAUCGUGUGGUACAAGGCCUGCUCCUUUUCCCUCCCUUUAGCUAGGUGCGCUGAGAGAAGGUCCCUGACAAAGGACGGGUUGCGUGUUCUUCGGAGCUCGCUUUAACGUAACGUGGUCAUGUCGGACUAGAGCGCCCCAUUAGGCUCCCGCAAUGAAAUUUUCUGAUAAAGAUACAUUCUUAGAUAAUUAAGUCAAGCAGUUAAGUUAAGAAAAUUUUCUUUGUUUGUCUGAGGGAGCAAGAUAAAAGGGUCUAUGUUAUUGUGUGUAGUUGGUGUCAUUGUAAGGUUUAAGCUGGUGAGUUUAGCCUUGAAGGUCAAUACGGGGACAUGUAUCUUUGCCAAGACGUCAACAAAUCCAUUAAGCCCACUUCCAUCUCAGCAACAAUGAAAGAAACUUGCGUUGCUGAGCUCUGCUGGCUGGGUGGCGUCACCGCACAUUGACCCAGCUACCCAAUGACUUCCCUGAAUUUUCAUUAUGUGAAAAC